UACGUAGGGGGCUAGCGUUGUCCGGAAUCAUUGGGCGUAAAGAGCGUGUAGGCGGCCAGGUAGGUCCGCUGUGAAAACCCGAGGCUCAACCUCGGGACGUCGGCGGAAACCAUCUGGCUAGAGUCCGGAAGAGGAGAGUGGAAUUCCCGGUGUAGCGGUGAAAUGCGCAGAUAUCGGGAAGAACACCCGUGGCGAAGGCGGCUCUCUGGGACGGUACUGACGCUGAGACGCGAAAGCGUGGGGAGCGAACAGG
rnacentral:rRNA from 1 species